rnacentral:rRNA from 1 species
UACGUAGGCAGCAAGCGUUGUUCGGAGUUACUGGGCGUAAAGGGUGUGUAGGCGGUUAUUUAAGUUUGGUGUGAAAUCUCCCGGCUCAACCGGGAGGGUGCGCCGAAUACUGAAUGACUUGGAGUGCGGGAGAGGAAAGUGGAAUUCCUGGUGUAGCAGUGAAAUGCGUAGAUAUCAGGAGGAACACCGAUGGCGAAGGCAGGUCUCUGGGCUGACACUGACGCUCAUGCACGAAAGCGUGGGGAGCAAACAGG